rnacentral:rRNA from 1 species
GUGGGGAAUAUUGGACAAUGGGCGCAAGCCUGAUCCAGCCAUGCCGCGUGUGUGAAGAAGGCCUUCGGGUUGUAAAGCACUUUUGUCCGGAAAGAAAUCCUUCAACUUAAUACGUUGGGGGGAUGACGGUACCGGAAGAAUAAGCACCGGCUAACUUCGUGCCAGCAGCCGCGGUAAUACGAAGGGUGCAAGCGUUACUCGGAAUUACUGGGCGUAAAGCGUGCGUAGGCGGUCUGUUAAGUCUGAUGUGAAAUCCCCGGGCUCAACCUGGGACCUGCAUUGGAUACUGGCGGGCUAGAGUACGGUAGAGGGUGGUGGAAUUCCCGGUGUAGCAGUGAAAUGCGUAGAGAUCGGGAGGAACACUCGUGGCGAAGGCGGCCACCUGGACCAGUACUGACGCUGAGGCACGAAAGCGUGGGGAGCAAACAGGAUUAGAAACCCGAGUAGUCC